rnacentral:rRNA from 1 species
UGGGGAAUAUUGGACAAUGGGCGAAAGCCUGAUCCAGCCAUGCCGCGUGUGUGAAGAAGGCCUUUUGGUUGUAAAGCACUUUAAGUGGGGAGGAAAAGCUUAUGGUUAAUACCCAUAAGCCCUGACGUUACCCACAGAAUAAGCACCGGCUAACUCUGUGCCAGCAGCCGCGGUAAUACAGAGGGUGCAAGCGUUAAUCGGAAUUACUGGGCGUAAAGCGCGCGUAGGUGGUUAUUUAAGUCAGAUGUGAAAGCCCCGGGCUUAACCUGGGAACUGCAUCUGAUACUGGAUAACUAGAGUAGGUGAGAGGGGAGUAGAAUUCCAGGUGUAGCGGUGAAAUGCGUAGAGAUCUGGAGGAAUACCGAUGGCGAAGGCAGCUCCCUGGCAUCAUACUGACACUGAGGUGCGAAAGCGUGGGUAGCAAACAGGAUUAAUACCCUGGUAGUCCACGCCGUAAACGAUGUCUACCAGUCGUUGGGUCUUUUAAAGACUUAUGACGCAGUUAACGCAAUAUAGACCGCCUGGGGAGUACGGCCGCAGGUU